rnacentral:tRNA from 1 species
AGAAGUUUAGGUUAAACAAACCAGGGGCCUUCAAAACCCCAAACACGAGCCAACAACCCUCCUAACUUCUG